rnacentral:rRNA from 1 species
AGCGAACGCUGGCGGCAGGCCUAACACAUGCAAAUCGAACGAACUCUUCGGAGUUAGUGGCGGACGGGUGAGUAACACGUGGGAACGUGCCUUUAGGUUCGGAAUAACUCAGGGAAACUUGUGCUAAUACCGAAUGUGCCCUUCGGGGGAAAGAUUUAUCGCCUUUAGAGCGGCCCGCGUCUGAUUAGCUAGUUGGUGAGGUAAAGGCUCACCAAGGCGACGAUCAGUAGCUGGUCUGAGAGGAUGAUCAGCCACAUUGGGACUGAGACACGGCCCAAACUCCUACGGGAGGCAGCAGUGGGGAAUCUUGCGCAAUGGGCGAAAGCCUGACGCAGCCAUGCCGCGUGAAUGAUGAAGGUCUUAGGAUUGUAAAAUUCUUUCACCGGGGACGAUAAUGACGGUACCCGGAGAAGAAGCCCCGGCUAACUUCGUG